rnacentral:rRNA from 1 species
AUUGAACGCUGGCGGCAUGCCUUACACAUGCAAGUCGAACGGCAGCACGGGAGCUUGCUCCUGGUGGCGAGUGGCGAACGGGUGAGUAAUACAUCGGAACGUACCCUGAAGUGGGGGAUAACGUAGCGAAAGUUACGCUAAUACCGCAUAUUCUGUGAGCAGGAAAGAGGGGGAUCGCAAGACCUCUUGCUUUAGGAGCGGCCGAUGUCGGAUUAGCUAGUUGGUGAGGUAAAGGCUCACCAAGGCGACGAUCCGUAGCGGGUCUGAGAGGAUGAUCCGCCACACUGGGACUGAGACACGGCCCAGACUCCUACGGGAGGCAGCAGUGGGAAUUUUGGACAAUGGGCGCAAGCCUGAUCCAGCCAUGCCGCGUGAGUGAAGAAGGCCUUCGG